rnacentral:rRNA from 1 species
AACGAACGCUGGCGGCGUGCUUAACACAUGCAAGUCGAACGGAAAGGCCCUGCUUUUUUGGUGUGCUCGGUUGCCGAACGGGUGAGUAACACGUGAGUAACCUGCCCUUGACUUUGGGAUAGCUUCAGGAAACUGGGCUUAAUCCCGGAUCGCAUCCCCUCUUCCAGGGUGGGGGUUGGAAAUUUGCGGCUGUUGGGGAUGGAUGCGCGGCUUAUGAGCUUGUUGGUGGGGUAGUGGCUUACCAAGGCUUUGAAGGGUACCCGGCUUGAGAGGGUGACCGGCGUCAAGGGGACUGCGAUACGGCCCAGACUGCUACGGGAGGCAGCAGUGGGGAAUAUUGCCCAAUGGGCGGAAGUGUGAGGCAGCAACGCCGCGUUCGGGAUGACGGCCUUUGGGUUGUAAACCGCUGUCGCCUGUGACGAAGCGUGAGUGACGGUAAUGGGUAAAGAAGCACCGGCUAACUACGUG